rnacentral:rRNA from 1 species
AUCAACUUUCGAUUGGUAGGAUAGAGGCCUACCAUGGUGGUAACGGGUAACGGGGUGUUAGGGCACGACACCGGAGAGGGAGCCUGAGAAACGGCUACCACAUCCAAGGAUGGCAGCAGGCGCGCAAAUUACCCAAUCCCGACACGGGGAGGUAGUGACAAUAAAUAACAAUACGGGGUUCUUUAGGAUCUCGUAAUUGGAAUGAGUACAAUUUAAAUCUCUUAACGAGGAACAAUUGGAGGGCAAGUCUGGUGCCAGCAGCCGCGGUAAUUCCAGCUCCAAUAGCGUAUAUUAAAGUUGUUGCAGUUAAAAAGCUCGUAGUUGAAUUUCGGGGUUAGUAGGUUGGUCAUGCCUCUGGUAUGUACUGGUCUCACUGAUUCCUCCUUCCUGAUGAACCGUAAUGCCAUUAAUUUGGUGUUGCGGGGAAUUUGGACUGUUACUUUGAAAAAAUUAGAGUGUUUAAAGCAAGCUAACGCUUGAAUACAUUAGCAUGGAGUAAUGAAAUAGGACGUUCGAUCCUAUUUUGUUGGUUUCUAGGAUUGUCGUAAUGAUUAAUAGGGAUAGUUGGGGGCAUUAGUAUUCAAUUGUCAGAGGUGAAAUUCUUGGAUUUAUUGAAGACUAACUACUGCGAAAGCAUUUGCCAAGGAUGUUUUCAUUAAUCAAGAACGAAAGUUAGGGGAUCGAAGACGAUCAGAUACCGUCGUAGUCUUAACCAUAAACUAUGCCGACUAGGGAUCGGAUGAUGUUAAUUUUUUAAUGACUCAUUCGGCGCCUUACGGGAAACCAAAGUGUUUGGGUUC